rnacentral:rRNA from 1 species
GAGUUUGAUCAUGGCUCAGAUUGAACGCUGGCGGCAUGCCUUACACAUGCAAGUCGAACGGCAGCACGGGAGCUUGCUCCUGGGUGGCGAGUGGCGAACGGGUAAGUAAUGCAUCGGAACGUAUCCUGGAGUGGGGGAUAACGUAGCGAAAGUUACGCUAAUACCGCAUAUUCUGUGAGCAGGAAAGCGGGGGACCUUCGGGCCUCGCGCUCUUGGAGCGGCCGAUGUCGGAUUAGCUAGUUGGUGAGGUAAAGGCUCACCAAGGCGACGAUCCGUAGCAGGUCUGAGAGGAUGAUCUGCCACACUGGAACUGAGACACGGUCCAGACUCCUACGGGAGGCAGCAGUGGGGAAUUUUGGACAAUGGGGGCAACCCUGAUCCAGCCAUGCCGCGUGAGUGAAGAAGGCC